UAGGGAAUAUUGGACAAUGGGGGCAACCCUGAUCCAGCCAUGCCGCGUGAGUGAAGAAGGCCCUCGGGUUGUAAAGCUCUUUUGUCCGUAAAGAAAAGCUUCGGGUUAAUACCCCGGGGUUCUGAAGGUACCGGAAGAAUAAGCACCGGCUAACUUCGUGCCAGCAGCCGCGGUAAUACGAAGGGUGCAAGCGUUACUCGGAAUUACUGGGCGUAAAGCGUGCGUAGGUGGUUGUUUGAUACUGAUGUGAAAGCCCUGGGCUAAACGUUGGAAUUGCAUUGGAAAUUGGGCAGCUAGAGUGAGGUAGAGUGUGGUGGACUUCCCGGAGUAGCAGUAAAAUACGUAGAGAUCGGGAGGAACAGCGGUGGCGAAGGCGACUGACUGGACCAGCACUGACACUGAGGCGCGAAAGCGUGGGGAGCAAACA
rnacentral:rRNA from 1 species